GGGGUCUUGGGUUGAACUUACCUACUCUUAAGUAUUUUUUUGCUGGAGGUAAACACGGUUGUUUGUGAAUACCCAUCAAUGGGUGAAAAAAAAAAACCAUUUUUAACACUUAUGUGGCCGGCAGGGUACCCGGGUACCUUUUUCAAUUUCAAAUCUCGAUAUUUUAAUGGUUAUUGAGACUAGGAUGUUGGAACUCUGUUAGAUCUUAGAACUCGUGAAUAUACAUCUAUUAAUGGGGUUGACCGAAUUUUAAAGUGAGGAGGGGCAGGGGGAGGGGCUCCUGCAUUUUUUUAUUACGUGGAAGGCCGGCAGGGUACCCGGGUACCCACGAAAUUGAAAUGAUCAUACAUAUCUCCGUUAAUUUUUCAUCGAUUUUGGAAAUUUUUAGCUCAUUCAACUCAGAAACUCAUCAUCUAUCGGGAAAAUAUUUGGUUAGACCGAUCUAAUCACCGUGGUUUUCGGAAAAUCCAUAUUUUUGGGAGCAUGUCCUUAUACCAUAUUGAAACCCACAUUGUUAAGACUAGGAUACGUUAAAGUGUUUAUGGUCAACCAUGGCCCCACGGGAAGCGUGUUCCGAAAUCACCGUUUCAAAGUCAACACGUUUUAUGAUUUCAGGCCGGUCAGAUACUAUAUGCCAAAGCAAUUUUACGAUGCUUGGUACCGAAAUUGCUACUAACCUACCGAAAAUCCCGUAUAUUGUAUUGUAUAAAAACAUGGAUCCGGAAAUCCGGAUUUUCCGGUACCUAUGGUGAUCGGACCGGUCCAACCAAAUACGAUAUCGAUAGAUAAUGAGUUUCUGAGUUGAAUGAGGCAAAAAUUUUUAACAUCGGUGGAAAAAUCGCUGAGAUAUGAUCAUUUCCAUUUCGUGGGUACCCGGGUACCCUGCCGGCCUUCUACGGGUGUUUUUUUUUGCUGGCCACACUACGGUUAAAUAGAACACGUUUCUGUCACAAAAGGGGUAAAUUUUUUAAAUUUUAAUGGGUAAAAAAUACCCAUUUGUGAUAUUUCUAUUCGCUUUAAAAAUGGGAGUUUUUAUACCCGUUAAUGGGUGAAAAAAUAGUUGGAAAUAAAUUGAACCACGUCGUCAGGGAAAAUAAAUAGAAAAGUGCAUACGGCGUUACUAAGAAACAAAACACGCACUUUGGUACAUGAUGCGAGACAUUACGAUCACUGUCUUCAUCCCACCCAGUUACCGCAGCUGCAAGUACAGGGAACAGGAACGCGGUAAACCUUUUCGUCGAAGCUUUGGAGCGGCCAAGGGAGUGGCUCUCGGUAAAUAUAAGGACACAAGCAAGAAAGAGACCAGUCAGUCGCGGUUUGGUCACCGGAUGUCACCUGGAUGGAACGUUGCAGAUUGCAAUUUUCUUGAAGUUCGAUGAAGUCUUGUUUUGUAUUUCGUGUGUAGUAUCUAAAACACCAUUGAAAUUUGGCAACUUGUUUUUGUUUUGAUUUCCGGAUUCGUUAUGAAACACAAUUUCAUCAAAUAUUGCGGUGGCGCGAAUGAAAAGCUCGUUCUUUCUACAAUUGUUGCCAUCCUCAGUUCAUUCUGGUUGGUCUCCAGGCGGUUUGGGUGUUGAAUAGCGCCAAUAAGGGCCAGCUACAAUGGGGAGCGGCGCGCGGCAGCGCGGUAUCGGAAAAUAAUCAGCACAUGGCGCUCCAUAUGAACGGCCACAAUGAGCAGCUGCGGCAGACGCGGCAUUGUACUAAAAUGCCGCAAAUAUUCAGAAUGUUGAAAAAGCGCGGCAUAGUUUGAGCGGCAAAGCACUGUUUGUGCACCAUGUAUUGAUUCCUUUGGCCAUUCUGUUGGACAUUUCGGAGCAAAUAGUGAUUCCGGCAGGUUGUUGGUGGAAUAUUCGUGGUAUGCGGAAGUUUUUGUAAAACUAUGCAGUGCACCAGAUUUUUUUAUGAGUUUUGUGUGAAAUGUUGGUGGAUCGGAUAUGGGAUCCGUAUUGGUGGCAAUUUGGAUAACAUUUAGAUAGACUCUGGUGAUCAUGUUGUUUGAAAUUUUGAAGAUAUCCGAUGCAAAUUAAGAAACUGCGUUGUGGAAUCAGACAAGAAGUAGUAUGAUGCUAAUCCGGGAGACUUCCAAAGACUUCUUUAUGUGUACUGUGUUGGGUUUUAAUGAUCAUGGUCCACAUUUUGGUAAAAUUCAAAUAUGACAGGUUUAUUGAAGAUUCGAAGAGAUGCGGAAUGGGAUGGAGAAGAUUUAUGAGAUUCAACUAGGAUUCGUAGAUAGAAUGUUAUUCUAUUCUAGAAGCCAGCGAAGAUUUUUCUUGAAUUUCAACGAAGACUUUGUUAGUCAUUCAUUAAGAAAUAACUCCAAAGAUUUCUCAAACGAUUAAAUUGUAUAUUUGAACAGAAGAAUUCCGCCAAAGACUUAUUUGGAACUUUUGUCCACAGUUUCUUUAUUUUAAUAACUUCUUGGAAAUCUCUAAAGCUGUAUAGUUUUUUUAAUAUUCUGCAAGAUUUUUUUUAUGUAUUUCGCAAUGACGGCUUCAAAGAAUUGUCCAGGAAUUCCCCUGGAAAUAAGUCUUCAUGAAUUAUUCAAGGAAUUCCUUUUUUAAAGUAGUUCUUUAAAAGUUCCUCACUAAAUUUCUCCAGGGAUUUCUCGAUGAAUUCCUCCAGAAAUUCCUCCAGGAAUUGCUCUUAGAACUCUUAGGGUUUCCUCCAAAAAUUCUUCAAGGGAUUCCUUUAGUAAGUUCUCCAGGGAUUCCUCCGGCAAUUUAUCUAGGGAUCUCCUCCGGGAAUGCCUCUAGAGAUUCUCCCAGGAAUUCCUCUAGGAAUUCCUCCAGGCAUUCCCCAAAAAAUUCCUUGAGUUAUUUCUGCAGGGAUUUCACCAGGAAUCAUUCUAGGGAUUCCUCCAGGAAUUCCUCCAGCAAUUCAUCUGGGGAUUCUUCCAGAAAUUCCUCAAGAUAUUCAUCCAGAAAUUCCUUCGGGGAUUCAUCUAGAAAUUUCAUCGGAGAUUCCUCCAGGAAUUCUUCUAGAGAUUCUUCCAAGGAUUCCUCUAGGGAUUCUUCCAGAAAUUUCUCUAGGGAUUCCUCCAGGAAAUCCUCUAGCGAUUCCCCCAGGAAUUCCUCUAAGGAUUCCUCCAAGGAUUCCUCCAGGAAUUUCUCUGGGAUUCCUCCAGGAAUUUCUGUAGGGAUUCCUCCAGUUAUUUCUCCAGCGAUACCUCCAGGAAUUCCUCUAGGGUUUCCUCCAGGAAUUCAUCAAGGGAAUCCUCCAGGAAUUCCUUCGGGGAUUCCUCCAGGAAUUCCUCUAGGGAUUCCUCCAAGAAAUCUUCCAAAAUUUCCUCUAGGGUUUCCUCCUAAAAUUCCUUUAUGGAUUCCUCCAGUAAUUUCUCCAGGGAUUCCUUCGGGAAUUCCUCAUGAGAUUCUUCCAGGAAUUCCUGUAGGGAUUUCUCAUUGAAUUCCUCUAGGGAUUCCUCCAGGAAUUCCCCAAGGAAUUCCUCCAGUUUUUUCUGCAGGGAUUUCACCAGGAAUUCCUCCAGUUUUUUCUGCAGGGAUUUCACCAGGAAUUCCUCUAGGAAUUCCUCAGGAAUUCCCCAAGGGAUUCCUCCAGGAAUUCAUCUAGGGAUUCCUCCGGAAAUUCAUCAAGAUAUUCAUCCAGGAAUUCCUUCGGGGAUUUCUCCAGGAAUUUCUCUUGGGAUUCCGGCAGGAAUUCCUCUAGGGUUUCCUCCAAAAAUCCCUCUAGGGAUUCUUUCAGGAAUUCCUCGAGAGAUUCCUCCAGGAAUUCCUCCAGGGAUUCCUCCAGGAAUUCCUCUAGUGAUUCCUUCAGGAAUUCCUCUAGGGAUUCCUCCAGGAAUUUCUCUAGCCCUGGCCAAGUUCGCAGGGGUUGACGGUAUUAAAGUGAAGGAGUUUCAUUUUGAUUAUUGUAUUGUAAUGUAGUGUUCUUUAGUGAAACAUAUCACCUUUUUAACACUUUAAUGCGCCUCCAACGGUUCAUCACGAACCGGCUGCUGCAGAUGGAGUAUGGCUGAUCAUAUGCAUCAGACAUGCUCGAUAAACAUGGAGGAUCCGCCAGGGCUCAUUAGAGUCUAUUCCCAAGCAACAGUUCCAAGUCGGUUGGAUUUGAGAAGGUUUUAAUGAUCGUUACAAAUCCUAACAAAAGCAUUAUAGGAUUUGUGACAGGUUUUGGAACCUUUUACAGCCAGCUGACUUCAAAAUGUUGUUUGGGCUCUAUUUCCCACGUUUCUCGGUUGAUUUUGAUUAGUAAUUUAUUAUUGUCAUAGUCGUUUUUUCGAAUGUUUACAAUGUUGGUCAUAUUUUCUUUAAAUAAUGCAAUUAAAAUCGACCGAAGAAUUAAUAGUGGGAAGGAGAUUUGUAGCACUUAAUUGUGCUGAUAGAUUCGAAGCUAACGUGCGAACACUUAAACAUAUUGUUGACAUCAAUGCGUUCGACGUGACAUUUUGGACCAAAACUGACUGCUUUUUAUUAACUGAACAACGUUACUUGUGUAUGACUAGGUUGACAUUUCUAGGCUAGGCUUGAGAAAAUGACAUGGUUUAUCUAGGUAGGACCGAUAGGACAAUUGAGCGAAUUUGAAUAUUUUUCAUAGUAUUUGUAGCGGGAUGAAAGUUGACAUCAAAUCUUUAUUAUUUUAAAAUUUUAUUGCAAUCAACUGACCAACUUGGCGUAUUUUUGUUUAUCUCUUAGAUGGUAUUAUGACACCAACAGAAAAAUAUCAGAAGUUCAGUUACAUGUUUCUGUGGUUUUUGGACCGAUGAAAAUUUAAGGACACAAGAGAUGAAUACAGAGAAGUAGAAAACGAUUAACGAAAUCAAGAAAACAAUUUGACACAGGAUCGACUAUAUUUUGACAUACAGGGUUCGAUUGAUUCGAUGAAAAAAAAACAAACAUACGACAACUGAUUUAACGAGAAGUAAAACAUAUUGAACCAUACCACAAAAUCAAACAAGAAGACAAACACAAACCGUGUUAUCAUAACACUACAUAGGCAAAUCCUGACUGACUGACCAAUUGAAAAAUUUCCAAUCUUCUACCGUAACUUUCUGAGUCAGUUGCAACAGUGUCUUAAUGGAUAUCAUUUUCCGCGUACGGCUGGCAAACUGCUUCUGAAAGAAUACGUACUCUUUUCUAUCUUCGGGUCUAGUGUAGAGGUUUCAACUCUAUUCAGAGUGCAGCUAGAAACCUAGCAAAAAAAAAAAAAGAUUCCUCCAGGAAUUUCUCUAGGGAUUUCUCUAAGAAUUCCUUCGAGGAUUCCUCUAGGAAUUCCUUCAGGGAUUCCUCUAGGAAUUCCUUCAGGGAUUCCUCCAGGAAUUCCUCUAGGGUUUCCUCCAGGAAUUCCUCUAGAGAUUCUUCCAGGGAUUCCUCUAGGGAUUUUUUCAGAAAUUUCUUUAGGGGUUUCCUCAGGAAUUCCUCUAGGGAUUCCUCCAGGAAUUGCUCUAGUGAUUGCUCCAGGAAUUCCUCUAGGGAUGCCUCCAGGAAUUUCUCUUGGAAUUCCUUCAGGGAUUCCACUAGAAAUUCCUUCUGGGAUUUCUAUUGGAAUUUCUUCGGAGAUUUCUCCAGGAAUUCCUGUAGGGAUUCCUCCAAGGAUUCCUGCAAGAAUUCCUGUAGGGAUUCCUCCAAAAAUUCCUGUAGGGAUUCCUGCAAGAAUUCCUGUAGGGAUUCCUCCAGCAAUGCCUCAAGCCAAGGGACUCUUCCAGGAAUUCCUCUAGGAAUUCAUCCAGAAAUUUCUCUACGGUUUCCAUCCAGGAAUUCUUCUAGGGAUUCCUCCAGGUAUUUCUCAAGGGAUUCUUCCUGGAAUUUCUCUAGGGAUUCUUCCAGGGAUUCCUCUAGAGUUUUCUCCAGAUUUUUUUCUGGAAAAUUCUCUAGGAAUUCCUCUGAGAAUUCUUCUGGGGAUUCCUCCAGGAAUUCAUCUAGAGAUUCUUCGAGUUUUCCCAAGGGAUUCUUCUAGGAAUUCCUCAAGGGAUCCCUCCAGUAUUUUCUCCAAGGAUUUCUCCAGGAACUUCUCUAGUGAUUGCUCCAGGAAUUCCUCUAGGGAUUUCUCCAGCAAUAUCUCUAGGGAUUUCUCUUGGGAUUCCUUCAGAGAUUCCUCUAGAAAAUCCUUCUGGGAUUUCUCUUGGAAUUCUUUCGGAGAUUCCUUAAGGAAUUCCUGUAGGGAUUCUUCCAAGAAUUCCUGUAGGGAUUCCUCCAGAAAAUCCUCAAGGGACUCCUCCAGGAAUUCCGCUAGGAAUUUAUCCAGAAAUUUCUCUAGGGAUUCUUCUAGGGAUUCCUCCAGGAAUUCCUCAAGGGAUUCUUCCUUGAAGUUCUCUAGGGAUUGUUCCAGGAAUUCCUCUAGAGAUUCCUCCAGAAAUUUAUCUGGAACACUCUCCAGGAAUUCCUCUAGGAAUUCCUCUGGGGAUUCCUCCAGGAAUUAAUCUAGAGAUUCUUCGAGAAAUUUCUCUAGGAAUUCCCCAGGGGGUUUUUCCAGGAAUUCCUCAAGUAAUUUCUCCAAGGAUUUCUCCAGGAAUUUCUCCAGGGAUUUCUCCAGGUAUUUCUCUUGGGAUUACUCCAGGAAUUCUUCUAGGGAUACCUACAAGAAUUCUUCUAGGGAUUCCUUAAGAGAUUCUUCCUGGAAUUCCUCUUGGGAAUCUUCCAGGAAUUCCUCUAGAGAUUCCUCCAGAAAUUUCUCUGGAAAAUUCUACAGGAAUUUCUCUAGGGAUUCCUCUAGGUAUUCCUCUGGUGAUUCCUCCAGGAAUUCAUCUAGAGAUUCUUCCAGGAGUUCCUCUUGGAAUUCUUCAAGGGAUUCUUCCAGAGAUUCCUCAAGGGAUUCCUCCAGUAAUUUCUCCAAGGAUUUCUCCAGGAAGUUCUCUAAGAAUUUCUCUAUAUAUUUCUCCAGGAAUUCCUUUAGGGAUUCUUCCAGGAUUCCUCCAGGAAUAUCUUUUGAGAUUCCUCCAGGAAUAUCUAAGGGAUUUCUAAAGAAAUUCCUCAAGGGUUUCCUCCAGAAAUUUCUCUGGAAAAUUCUCCAGGAAUUCCUCUAGGGAUUCCUCUAGGAAUUCCUCUGGUGAUUCCUCCAGGAAUUCAUCUAGAGUUUCUUCCAGGGAUUCCUUUAGGGAUUCAUCCAGAAAUUUCUCUAGGGAUUCCUCCAUUAAUUCUAUUAGGGAUUCAUCCAGGAAUUUAUCUAGUGUUUCUUCUAGGAGUUCCUCUAGAAAUUUCCCAAGGGAUUCUUCCAGAGAUUCCUCAAGGGAUUCCUCCAGUAAUUUCUCCAAGGAUUUCUCCAGGAAGUUCUCUAAGAAUUUCUCUAUAUAUUUCUCCAGGAAUUCCUUUAGGGAUUCUUCCAGGAUUCCUCCAGGAAUAUCUUUUGAGAUUCCUCCAGGAAUAUCUAAGGGAUUUCUAAAGAAAUUCCUCAAGGGUUUCCUCCAGAAAUUUCUCUGGAAAAUUCUCCAGGAAUUCCUCUAGGGAUUCCUCUAGGAAUUCCUCUGGUGAUUCCUCCAGGAAUUCAUCUAGAGUUUCUUCCAGGGAUUCCUUUAGGGAUUCAUCCAGAAAUUUCUCUAGGGAUUCCUCCAUUAAUUCUUCUAGGGAUUCAUCCAGGAAUUUAUCUAGUGUUUCUUCUAGGAGUUCCUCUAGAAAUUUCCCAAGGGAUUCUUCCAGAGAUUCCUCAAGGGAUUCCUCCAGUAAUUUCUCCAAGGAUUUCUCCAGGAAGUUCUCUAAGAAUUUCUCUAUAUAUUUCUCCAGGAAUUCCUUUACACGAAAAGAAAUUUAAUUAUGUUAUUUAUAAGGAUUGAUUCAUCUUUUUUAUUAGAUGCGUCCUAAUUGCUUCUAUAACAUCCACCCAUUCAAAGCUAUAACAUUUCCUUAUAUCAUGUAUAAGUUUUGUGUUAUGGCGAAAAAGUAUUAGUUUAAACUAAUAUAUUAAUUAAGGUCUUGCUUUGAAAAUUCGCUCCACUACAAACAAACGGCGCCGUCGUGUUCAAUGUAAGAAGCCAUUGUUGCUCUCGUGUGGUUUCGGCACAGAAGUGUUUUUUGCCGUUCUUGUGCAAUUCUCAGCUGGAAGCGCUUGCGGAUUACGGUAGGUAUUAAACCAUAAACAAAUAAAAAUGUUUGCAGCAGCUUACAUAACUUCUCUCUUUUACAGAGUACCCCUGGAGCCAUGACCACAUUAUCUGGAAAACGGCACGGUCACAAUCGAGGUCCCAAGAAGUUCUCCAGGAUGCCAUCGGAAAGCUCUGUCCGGAGCGUUUAUUCAAGAUCCUCGGUUCCGGGAGUAGGAACAAACUACAGCUCCACACGCAGCAGCUCUGGAGAUGUUGCUCGGAAGAUCUCGGGCGGGAUCUUGGGAGGAGCUCAACCCAACGAUCAACCUUUCAGCGAACAUGAGCGGACGUGCUGGCCAAUGAGGAGCAGCUUCGGAAGUUAUUUUGAGAGCAGCGUAAUCGAUACAGGUCCAUUGCAGUAUUUCAAAUUAUAAAAUAAAAUAAUUAUGUCAGAAUCAG